rnacentral:rRNA from 1 species
GUGGGGAAUAUUGGACAAUGGGCGCAAGCCUGAUCCAGCAAUGCCGCGUGGGUGAAGAAGGUCUUCGGAUCGUAAAGCCCUUUCGACAGGGACGAUGAUGACGGUACCUGUAGAAGAAGCCCCGGCUAACUUCGUGCCAGCAGCCGCGGUAAUACGAAGGGGGCUAGCGUUACUCGGAAUUACUGGGCGUAAAGGGCGCGUAGGCGGCUCUGUUAGUCAGGCGUGAAAUUCUUGGGCUUAACCUGGGGACUGCGCUUGAUACUGCAGGGCUUGAGGCCGAGAGAGGGUGGUGGAAUUCCCAGUGUAGAGGUGAAAUUCGUAGAUAUUGGGAAGAACACCGGGGGCGAAGGCGACCACCUGGCUCGGUUCUGACGCUGAGGCGCGACAGCGUGGGGAGCAAACAGGAUUAGAUACCCCUGUAGUCC